CCUUAAACUACUUGUUAUUAAUCCCGUACCUACAAAUUAUUAAGAAUUUGGCUAGAAUUUGUCCAUAAACA
rnacentral:tRNA from 1 species